rnacentral:rRNA from 1 species
CCUACGGGUGGCAGCAGUGGGGAAUAUUGCACAAUGGGGGAAACCCUGAUGCAGCGACGCCGCGUGAGCGAUGAAGUAUCUCGGUAUGUAAAGCUCUAUCAGCAGGGAAGAAAAUGAAGGUACCUGACUAAGAAGCCCCGGCUAACUACGUGCCAGCAGCCGCGGUCAUACGGAGGGGGCAAGCGUUAUCCGGAUUUACUGGGUGUAAAGGGAGCGUAGACGGUCCUGCAAGCCAGUGGUGAAAGUCCGGGGCUCAACCCCGGGACUGCAAUUGAUACUGUAAGGCUAGAGUGUCGGAGAGGCAGGCGGAAGUCGUGGUGUAGCGGUGAAAUGCGUAGAUAUUAGGAAGAACACCGAUGGCGAAGGCGGCCUGCUGGACGAUGACUGACGUUGAGGCUCGAAAGCGUGGGGAGCAAACAGGAUUAGAUACCCGUGUAGUC